CCUACGGGAGGCAGCAGUGGGGAAUCUUGCGCAAUGGGCGAAAGCCUGACGCAGCCAUGCCGCGUGAAUGAUGAAGGUCUUAGGAUUGUAAAAUUCUUUCACCGGGGACGAUAAUGACGGUACCCGGAGAAGAAGCCCCGGCUAACUUCGUGCCAGCAGCCGCGGUAAUACGAAGGGGGCUAGCGUUGCUCGGAAUUACUGGGCGUAAAGGGAGCGUAGGCGGACAUUUAAGUCAGGGGUGAAAUCCCGGGGCUCAACCUCGGAAUUGCCUUUGAUACUGGGUGUCUUGAGUAUGAGAGAGGUGUGUGGAACUCCGAGUGUAGAGGUGAAAUUCGUAGAUAUUCGGAAGAACACCAGUGGCGAAGGCGACACACUGGCUCAUUACUGACGCUGAGGCUCGAAAGCGUGGGGAGCAAACAGGAUUAGAUACCCUGGUAGUCCACGCCGUAAACGAUGAUUGCUAGUUGUCGGGAUGCAUGCUAUUCGGUGACGCAGCUACGACAUAAGACACUCCGCCGUGGGAGGUACGGUCGCGAGAAUUAAACUAACAAUAGAAGUUAGACGGCGUGAGACGUGCCGACGGACGACCGACGAGGGAGGUAGG
rnacentral:rRNA from 1 species